rnacentral:rRNA from 1 species
UACCAGCACCCCGAGUUGUCGGGACGAUUAUUGGGCCUAAAGCGUCCGUAGCCUGUUCUGCAAGUCCUCCGUUAAAUCCACCUGCUUAACGGAUGGGCCGCGGGGGAUACUGCAGAGCUAGGAGGCGGGAGAGGCAAACGGUACUCAGUGGGUAGGGGUAAAAUCCAUUGAUCUACUGAAGACCACCAGUGGCGAAGGCGGUUUGCCAGAACGCGCUCGACGGUGAGGGAUGAAAGCUGGGGGAGCAAACGGG